GGAAAGCCAAUCAUUCAUUUAGGGCCUGGGGCGGAGGAUGGAGACGUGAGAGGGAGAGAUUACAAAAGGGCUUUUGGGGAUGAUAUAUUUGUUCACUAUCUUGAUUGCAGUGAUGGUUUCACAUGUCAAAGUUUUUCAAAUUGUACACUUUAAAUGCGUGUGCAGUUUAUUAUCUGUCAAAAAUACCCCAUAAAGCCAUUAAAAACUGUAUGGAUGAAUGACUGUGAAAAAAUAAGUAAAAAAUAUUUUAUUAUAAUGUAAUGAGCUCAAUAAUCUGCUAGGAGUGUAAAUUUAUGUGCCUGCUAUUACUGAGUUUUUUCCAUAGAAACUAAAUAUAUGAUAGGAUUAGUGUUACAGAGACUCAAGUUCUGCAUACUCCAGAUGAAGACCUUUGUGUGCCCCUACAUUCAUUUGAUAAUAACCUCCAUAUCCUGCCCUUUCCCUUGCAUAUCGGCAGUUUACACUUCUCAGGCCUGCCACGUGCCCUCAUAGUGGAAAUCUAGUGCUUGGUGUGGAAAACAGCAGACCCUCCUAACUGCCAGUGAAAAUUAUAUUAGCGAAAUAAGAGAAAAUGCACUCUUCUUCUCAGGUGCAUAAAAGCAGAAAGUAUUCCAUGCUAUGAAGUUGCCCUUGUAGAUUUAUUUUUUAAUAUCGUGGCAAAGGAAUCCUCCAAGACUGUUCCUCUGGCCUGUUAAAUGUCUAUUAGUCUUGAGAGAUACUGUAACUAUGAAUAGUUGUUUACCUAAUGUCCUGUUGCCAUGACAAUAAAAGCUGAAAUUGAUUUCUGUUUUCUGAUGGACCUAAACAUCUGUGAAUUUUCAUAAUCAGGCCAACAGCAGAUCAUCACAGUUCAAUCUCCCACUUACAAGAAGGUACUAAAACUUGGCUCAUUUUCUUAUUUAAACAAAAGAGAUGAAGAGCCUUAUGACAUUUAAAAGAACACUUCUGAAACGGGACACUAUCCUUAGCUGCUCAUCUUUCCUGUUCUUCUGGCCACAAGAACUCUCACCUCGGGCCCUGACAGACUCAGGAGAAUCAGUUUCUCUUUCUCCACCUAGGCAGGCAUACUCUCGCCACCUUCUGGUAGAGCAAAGCCAGGCAAACACUAGGCACCGCCAAUGUCUCCUCCUACGGUAUCCGCUCUGAGACUCCGAUAGGUGGAUGAACCCUCAUGAGCCAAUCAAAAGUCCCACCGUCCAGCAUACCUUCUCUACCACACUAGCCUUCAAGGAUUCCUUUCUGGCUCCUAGACAGCCAUGUGCAAAAGGCGCAAGGAAUCACUCAGCCUAGCUAGUCUCUGCUGACAGAGUCCAUGGAUGCUCUAGUAAACUACUUAAUGGGGUAUACGAGGAUUAUGGGAUUAUGCUCUUGGAUGCUCUAACAGCCGCCCUCUCGGAUGCUGUUACGGUUUGAGGACCGAGAUGCUAAACCAGGGGGUUCUACAAGCAAUCCGCGGAACAUGGACGCUUGUAGUGAACUGGACACUGACCGUAUUUGUCCUCAGUCCACAACCUCACUGACUUCACCUUCAGGAGCCUCGGCACUUGAUUCCUUUAAAGUUCCUCGUGCUCCUGAACUGUGGGGAAAUUUUACCAGGCUCGAUUUGGUAAGAUUUGGCUGUGAUGCUGCGUGCCUCUCCCUCCUCAGCUUGUCUGGCAUUCCGAACCUCCCUGCUUCCGGGUCCUCCACUGCCCACCUGCCGGAAGUAGCUACCGAGAAAUAUUUUUCCUAAAAAAUUUUCCCGAGAGGGAAAAGAGUUCCCAGGGCAGCGCUCAGACCUGGGUCUGAGCAAAGAAGCGCAAAGAAGCGCGGAGGACUCGUUACCUGUCAAGGUUUCUCCGCUGCAGCGCGCCUCCCUCCCGGAGAAAGCGAUCGAUCCUCACAAGUCCAGAGCAGCGGCCUUGACCCUGCAAGGUCCAGUCCUUGUAUCAGCUGAACUCGGUGACUCCUCACGGGAUGGGGUACCGCGCAGGAGAAAGGACAGCCAUACAGGUUCGCUUCUGUGGACCGGAACCCACCCCGUCUCAUGCAACGACAGUAGCCUUGGUUACCUUCGGUGGAUAGAUGGGGCGAUGGGGUGAGGUGAUGGGAAGGUCUUUUGGCUUCUCUAUGUUUUCUAGGUUUUUUUGUUUUGUUUUGUUUUGUUUUGCGGGGGGGUGGGGGGAGCUGUUUGUUUGUGUGUUUUUAGAUUGGCAGUCCUCGCCCUCACCCAAGGAGGGAGAUCUGGGUGGAACUCCACAUCCUCCAGCCCUACCCGGACGUCCCAGGCUCCGGCGCGUCCUCAGGUCUCUAACCCCUACGCCUCCAGCCCCUGGAUUCUGGUUGACAUUACCAGAGCAGCAGUCCCGGCUCUCUGCGGGGAACUGAGGAGGAGGGAGCGUUGCGUCCAGCGCGGACAGAGUUAAACCUCCGCUUUUGCCCUCCCUCCACCCUAGAACUGGGCUAAGUUGAGUCUGCCUCCUUUCUUUUGAGGGUACUUUGAUUUGUAAAGGAGUGAUGACUGCUGCUAACGGCUCUAUCGCAGCCUGCCCGGAGUGUGUGUCUCCGUUUGCUAGAACCCCAGCAGGAUUAGGCGAUGGCGUCUCGGUGAAAGAAAAUGGAAACUGUCCGCUGCAGACUUCAUCACACUCCGGGUCUUGUCCAAGACCGCAGUUUUCAGUCUGUUCGUUCUAAGUUUAUUACCAAACGUGUUCUGGCAGCUCGCAAAGGGUCUGGCUGGGUACCCGGCUCCGCGCGGGACUCUCCGCACAUACCCGCGUUUGUGAUGCGCGCUGCUGCGGGGCGAGGCCUGUGCAGGGAACCCAAGCUGCGGCUCAGCGGAGCGAAGGGUGCGAGGAGCCGGCUGCCUGGGGAAUGACCCGAACCCGCGCCCCGCGGGCGUAAGCAGCUUUUGGGGACCUCUGGAGCAUUCAGUUAGUUCUUGACUUCAACUGCUCCUCUCCCGGGGCUCCCUCCUGUCUUCUUGGCCCUCUUAAAAUUCUGGAGAAUAGAUGUUUCAACAUCUCACUUCCAACUUCCGCGCCCAUAGGCCGGAGGACUGCUGGAGCCCUCCUAGCAAUCUCUCUCCCACCUUCUCCCCAAGCUCGAGGUCCCAGUGGCCCGGGCUGAGGAUACUGAAGCCGCCUACGAAACCAGGGGCCUGCAGGGACUGGGUCGCCGCAGUCUGGCCAGGGGGCGCUCGCGUGUCUAGGUCUCUUCAAACCUGUGUGCCCUCUUUAACUCACUGCCAUUUUUCCCUGCCCUUCCAUCUUGUAUGUUAUCCUGCAUUAAAUAUUCUCCCUUUCUCAUUGCCCCACUUCCAUUUUUGAACCAAAAGACGGCCUGACCAUGACUGUCCCUCUCUUUUCUCUUUCCUUUUGAGAGUUAGCUUGUGAUGCCCACCGUGAAUAAUGAGCCAAAGAGCAGAGUUGAUGAUAUGCAACUAUUUUGGAAAAGGAAAGCCUGGAAGAAAUUAGACAAAAGAAAACCAAUGGUAUCUCUUCAAAAGUCCAGAAAAACAAAGUCCAUUUCAGAAUCAUGUCAGAAAUCUAUAUCCAUUAACUUUCAUACCUCCUAAUUAUAUUUUAAUAUAAGCAUUUUACAAAUAUAAAAAUAGUUUGUUUCGAUACAAUAAAACUAAAAAUUAAAAACUAAAAACUGUUGCUCCACACUAUUCCCCCCACCCCGAGAUAUUAGUAGGCUUUCCUGAGCUGACCUGAAAUGUGAAAUCAACAUCUGUAAGCCAAGACUUUUAGUUCUAGGACUAAGUCAAAGACUUUGCAACACAACUCAGCUAUCAGUUGGGGGUCCACCUUUUUGUAUAUUGAACCCUUGGUUCUUGUUUACUAAGAUCUUUCCAUAUUUUCUGAGAUGAUCUUGAGCUGAGUUUGUCAUCCACCACACCCCGCAGCAGGAGUGUGUGCACUCAUAAGAAUUUGGAAUGUCUGGAAGAACAGCAAACAUGUCACUUUCCAGGUAAUUCAUUAUGGGUGGUUGCUUGGGAAUAGGUUGGUUGUUCAUCCAUUAGGAAGAAAAUAGAAUUGGACUGCUGUUUUAUGUUUUAUAAAAAAUCAAUUACAGAAGCUUUAAGGACUUAAAUGUCAGAAAUAAACUUUUCGAACUUUUAAUAGAAAAUGUACAUGAAUAAUUUUGUGUCGUUUGGGUAAGAAAGGAUUUCCUAAACCAAACACAAAAGAAUUAAACUUAAAAAGAUUGAUAAAUUUUGCUACAUUAAAAUUAAGAACUUCUGCUCCUCAAAAGGUACCUUAAAGAGAGUGAAAAUAUUUAACUGCAGACUUGAAAAGAUAUUUGCAAUCUCUGUAGAUGACAAAAGAUUGGUAUUAAGAAUACAUAAAAAAUUUAUACAACAUUUAAAAAGAACAAACUCCACUAGAAAAAUGGGCAAUAGUUAUAAAGAUGCAUUUCUCAGAAAAGGAAACACAUACUCCCAAAGAAGUUAGAUACUGGAUCUAUUAAUAACAAGUAAAAUGCAGAUCAAAACCCCAAGUAGAUAUCGUCUUACAUUUAAUUGACAAAUCGGGUGUUCAAGAGGUUGUGAGUAAUCAGGAAUUUUAUACAUUGCUGCUGGGAUGUUAAAUUGGUCUAAUUCCUUUGGAAAGCAAAUUUGACAUUACCUUGUACAGCUGGUUAUUUGCAUACUCCACCACUCAGCAAUUCUUUCUAGUUUCUAGAGAAAAAUGUGUACACAUGCAUCAGGAGGUAUAUAUAAUUGGAGAUAUGCCAAUAUCUCACAGUGCUCAUAGAUUCAUUAUUUGUAAUAGCCCCAAACAGAAAAAAAAAAUUACUUAUUGUCAUGACAUUGCAUAAACGUAUUGUGGUGUAUCCACAUAAUGGAAUAUUAUUUAUCAGUGAAAAUGAAUACAUUAUAGCUAUAAGCAAGAACAAGGCUGAAUCUGAGUGAUGUAUAUGAACAUCUUGUCACAACCUUACUCAUAGAUUUACCUGAUUCUUUUAUUGAUUGUAUAGUAUUUCAUAGACUUCCUUAACAUGGAUGUUACUAAUUUUAGCUGUUUUAUUGUGACAUGUACUAUACAUACAGAGAGUACAUAGAAUAGAGUUAUAACUUACACAGAGAAACCUGUGUAACCACCACAUAGAUCAAAAAAUAAAACUUUGCAAACA